AUAAAAAAAAAAGUUUCUGCAACUGGCUAGGCUGGUGUCCCCUUUCUCCGCCAUCGCUUCAUGUGUGUCCCUCCCGCAGCCCAGCGCUCGAGAGGGACAGCGCUAAAAUGCAUCAGAAGACAGACUUAUACAGACAUUUCCCCCACAUAUCGCAAUAAAAGACGGAACCCUUUGAUUCCCCGUCUUUAAAUCCGACUCACAAAUCCCGGGAGACAAAAUUUGACAUUAAUCACAUUCGAAGGCGAGGACACACCUGAAAGUCAGCCGUGAUAAUCUGAAACAGAGGAGGACCAGAAAGACACAGAAGGGAUUGGAAAUGUGCGGCUUCGUUAGAUUCAGGAGUCUUGAACUUUGAAUAUCCUACAGCAUGUCAGAUUGCUGUAGCAUUAAAGCAAGAUGGUUGUAAAAGGUGUUGAGGCACCACCUAUUGGCCCUUGGAGGGCGAAUCAGCUAUAAUUGAUAAUAAUACAUUUUGUUCAUAAAGUGACAUUAAGAGCAAUUCUAAAAAGAAAAGCGAGUAAUCAACAACCCCAUCUGCCAAAAUGUCUUUUUUGUCAGCGGAGGAUCAUGAGAAAUGGAGUCAAAUCAAAAGGGUCGCGGGGGGUGCUGGAGCCAAUCUCAGCUGCAUUCCGGCGGAAGGCGGGGUACAUCCUGGACAAGUCGCCACCUCAUCGCAGGGCCAACACAGAUAGACAGACAACAUUUAUUAUGGUUAUUAUUAAAUCUUAAUUUAAUUUAAUUUAGAAAAUACAUAUUUUUUACUUAUUCUAGAUUUAUUUUGACUUUCACUGAAUUCUUUAGGACUGUCAAAGUUAACACGAUAAUGCGUUAACUAUAAAUUUCAAUAACGGCACUCAUUUUUUUAACGGGCAAUUAAUGCAAACACUUCCUUUUUGGCCCUCAAGCUAACCCCCCCACCCAUUUUUCACGUUUGUGCUUAAAUGCUUAUUUAGGUUUCUCUCAUUCAUAUUCUCCCAUUCAGCCUGCGGACACACAAAUGGCGGGCUCAUCACUAAUGAGGCGGACUUUGCCAGGACGCCUUUUUUUCUUAGUAGUGUGACAAUAAUGGCGACUUGUGAAUGUCAUUGAAAUCCAUGAAAAACUUAACACGUUUAAAUUUGGAAAAAGCCAUACGUGUGUUGCCAUGGUGAUGUGGCAACGUCUUCUUCCUAGCUGGAUGUGAAAAAUAAUUUGUAGAUUAAACUUUAUUCACUUACUAUUACCAGCCUGAUGUUUUUUGUGAUGUUAAGAGUUCUGUUUAGUAAAAUGUUUGUGAAGCUGUGAUGUGUCAGAGAGGCUUGCAUGGACAACGGUGUGUGUGGCUCAUAUGUGUGUGUGCAAAUCAGAGAGUGACAGUUUGACAUUACUCUCUAAAAACAUAUCAAAUCAUUGAAUAGACGCUACACGAUGUAUGUAUUUUCAAAUAAAUAGUCACGUAGUUCAAUGAUCACGGUCCACAUGAAAUUGUAUGCAUUGAACGUCUGUUAGUACCAGGAUUGUCAUGGCCCGGGCGCACCUCUGUGUGCAUGUAUCUGUGCGCCGGGCGCACCUCCGAGAGCGCACCUGCGUGCACCACUCCGGCUGCAGCAGGCAGCUGCAAUCAAGCUGCAAUCUGCACACCUGUCGCUGAUGAGCCCUCUGGGCUUCUUAAACCAGUGCAGACCUGCGUUCCGGGCCAGAACGUAGCGACCAGUUCCAGUACAGUGAGCCGAAUAUCUCUAGCUCUAUGCACUCUCUCUCUCUCUCUCUGUGUUUCUCCCCCCUCCGUGUUAAUUUUUCACGUGUCCCUUGUCGAUCCAGCAGCAUUCCUCCGUUCCCGCGUCACAAGCUGUGUGUCUCGUCUCCCCGUAUUCCCUCUGGUUCCCUGGCUGCCUUUUGGAUCUCGACCUCCCGCCUGGACAAGGAUUUUGACGCCUCGCUAUAGCCCCCGACUUCCUGCCUGUCUCUGGACCUUCGAGCCUGCCUUGCCCCUCUUGGACUUCCACACCUCGCUCAACACUCUGAGUAACACUCUUCAGUUAAUCUCUACACAUAGUCGCACAC